AAUCCGUGUUGUGGACACUUCCACAAUAGGUCCUUGAAUCACUCCCAUGUCUCAAAGAAGGACUCGAGCUCCAUUUGAAUGAAUGAUGAUAUCUCAUUGUGAAGCUU